UAGGGAAUCUUCGGCAAUGGGGGGAACCCUGACCGAGCAACGCCGCGUGAGUGAAGAAGGUUUUCGGAUCGUAAAGCUCUGUUGUUAAGGAAGAACGAGUGUGAGAAUGGAAAGUUCAUACUGUGACGGUACUUAACCAGAAAGGGACGGCUAACUACGUGCCAGCAGCCGCGGUAAUACGUAGGUCCCGAGCGUUGUCCGGAUUUAUUGGGCGUAACGCGAGCGCAGGCGGUUAGAUAAGUCUGAAGUUAAAGGCAGUGGCUCAACCAUUGUAGGCUUUGGAAACUGUUUAACUUGAGUGCAGAAGGGGAGAGUGGAAUUCCAGGUGUAGCGGUGAAAUGCGUAGAUAUAUGGAGGAACACCGGUGGCGAAAGCGGCUCUCUGGUCUGUAACUGACGCUGAGGCUCGAAAGCGUGGGGAGCGAACAGG
rnacentral:rRNA from 1 species